GAUGAACGCUGGCGGCGUGCCUAAUACAUGCAAGUCGAGCGAACAGACGAGGAGCUUGCUCCUCUGACGUUAGCGGCGGACGGGUGAGUAACACGUGGAUAACCUACCUAUAAGACUGGGAUAACUUCGGGAAACCGGAGCUAAUACCGGAUAAUAUAUUGAACCGCAUUGUUCAAUAGUGAAAGACGGUUUUGCUGUCACUUAUAGAUGGAUCCGCGCCGCAUUAGCUAGUUGGUAAGGUAACGGCUUACCAAGGCAACGAUGCGUAGCCGACCUGAGAGGGUGAUCGGCGACACUGGAACUGAGACACGGUCCAGACUACUACGGGAGGCAGCAGUAGGGAAUCUUACGCAAUGGGCGAAAGCUUGACGGAGCAACGCCGAGUGAGUGAUGAAGGUCUUCGGAUCGUAAAACUCUGUUAUUAGGGAAGAACAAAUGUGUAAGUAACUAUGCACGUCUUGACGGUACCUAAUCAGAAAGCAACGGCUAACUACGUG
rnacentral:rRNA from 1 species